rnacentral:pre_miRNA from 1 species
AUCACACUCCCUCCGUUCGGAAUUACUCAUCCAAGAAAUGAAUGUAUCUAGAUGUAUUUUAGUUGUAGAUACAUCCAUUUUUGUGACAAGUAAUUCCGAACGGAGGGAGUACUUA